rnacentral:rRNA from 1 species
GAUGAACGCUGGCGGCGUGCCUAAUACAUGCAAGUCGAGCGAACGGACGAGAAGCUUGCUUCUCUGAUGUUAGCGGCGGACGGGUGAGUAACACGUGGAUAACCUACCUAUAAGACUGGGAUAACUUCGGGAAACCGGAGCUAAUACCGGAUAAUAUUUUGAACCGCAUGGUUCAAAAGUGAAAGACGGUCUUGCUGUCACUUAUAGAUGGAUCCGCGCUGCAUUAGCUAGUUGGUAAGGUAACGGCUUACCAAGGCAACGAUGCAUAGCCGACCUGAGAGGGUGAUCGGCCACACUGGAACUGAGACACGGUCCAGACUCCUACGGGAGGCAGCAGUGGGGAAUCUUCCACAAAGGGCGAAAGCCUGACGGAGCAACGCCGCGUGAGUGAUGAAGGUCUUCGGAUCGUAAAACUCUGUUAUUGGGGAAGAAAAUAUGUGUAAGAAACUGUGCACAUCUUGACGGUACCUAAACAGAAAGCCCCGGCUAACUACGUG